CUGGUACUUUCCCCCGUUUCAUACUUUUCCUGUUACUAUAACCAUGGUCUGUACCUUCUCUAGAAAGGCGACUAAAACAUGUUUAGGACAUCUGGGCGGCUAUACUGAGAUCCCAGCGUGUGGCAAUCCAGCCAUUACGGGAGCCGCACUGCUGAAGCACAGGUGCGUCCUGCCGGCUCUUAAGCCCAAUUAGGAGGCAGGGUUAAUUGAUGGUGGAACAGAGCGGACCCUGCUGUGCAUGACGUACCCAAGCUGUGUCAGCUGCACUUGUGGCUUGUCCCAUGACCCUUUGGCCCAUCCUGCUGUGAGUGUGGCUGUCAGUCAGGGUUGAGAGUUUAGAGAGAAGUGGGCAGGCAGCUUCAGGCCCCACGUUGGUGUUGGCCUGGGCACCUGUUGGAUCAACACAAUAACUGCACCCUGGAGUUCCUGGAAGCUGCCUUCUGCUCAGCCAGGCCUGCUUGUGGACGGAGCCCAUGCCAGCUACAUGUGCCAGGGAAGCCACAGCUUGGCUGGUGAGCAAUGCAGUUCCGGGAAAGUGUAGGCUCUCUGUGUUCUUUCCUCUCUCGCAGACCAGGGGCAGCCUUGGGUCCCUUGGGGGUCACUAUGUUAUACCUGCUUUUUAUCUGUCUGGGCAGGAGCUGCUCAAGCCACAUCUUAUGACACUGAGGAGGACAGCACAUUGCACUCUCACCUCCUUUGCAGUUAAGUGUGAUAUAGUGCCAAUAGAGUGUGAAAGAAAAGAAAGAAGAUGAUUCACCUCCCAAAGAAGGCGAUUCCCCACUGCUGUGUCCCUUCUAUCACCUUCAUUCAAAAAACCAAAAUGGACCCGGGAACCACGUGUUGAAGAUGGGAGAGCUCCAAAAGAGACUGGAGCCCUGAGUCACCACCUGGAGGAAAACUACCCACCCAUCAGGAAUUUAUACUAUACAAUUGGGAGUUUUUGGGUAACAGCAGCUACUUUAACUAAAACACCCAGGGACAAGAGUUAUUAUUGCACACACUGGUUACCUUUUUGUAUGUUUGGGUCCUCUCUGUUCGAUGAGACUGCACAUUCCUUUGAAACACGUCUGUUUAAAAUUCUUAUAUCCUCAGACAGCCUAGCAGAGAGUAUGCACAGAGUGAGCCUUCAGUAAAUGCUGAGUAAAUAAGCUCCUAAAGGAUGAAACUGGGUCUUCGAAGCUUGUUCUGACCAGUACUUAGUAUAGGAUUUUGUGCUGUUGGUCACUUUUCAUAAAGGUUCUUGCCAUUAAGGAACUUGAUAUCCAAGGUACUCACAGAGUCAAAAUUCAGGGGAACAAACAGAAGAGAUAUGUCCAAAAAUCCAUUUAAAAUUUCACGGACAGAUAUUUAUCUCUUUAAUCCUGGAAGCUGUUGCACGUAAGGGAAGUUCAGUAGAACGAAAACAGGACUGCAAGCUGGGAGGAGAUUUGGGGUCUCUUGGCCAACUCUGCCACAAAUUGUGUUACCUUCAGUUUCCCUGCUGGUAAAAUGAAGUCAGUGGUCCCCAAAAUGAAAUUUGGACUAAUGGCAAAUUAGCUAGCAUUUGAUUAUACAUCGAUAGGUUCCCCAUGUGAUUUUAAUGCACACAUCAGAUUUGGGAACCAUUAGGUAGGUGAUCUUAUCCUAUGAGUCUAUCUUUUUCAUCAUGGAAAAAUAAAUGUGUUUUGCUGACCGAA